rnacentral:rRNA from 1 species
AGCGAACGCUGGCGGCAGGCUUAACACAUGCAAGUCGAGCGCCCCGCAAGGGGAGCGGCAGACGGGUGAGUAACACGUGGGAACGUACCCUUUGGUUCGGAACAACCCAGGGAAACUUGGGCUAAUACCGGAUAAGUCCGCGAGGAGAAAGAUUUAUCGCCGAAGGAUCGGCCCGCGUCUGAUUAGCUAGUUGGUGUGGUAACGGCGCACCAAGGCGACGAUCAGUAGCUGGUCUGAGAGGAUGAUCAGCCACACUGGGACUGAGACACGGCCCAGACUCCUACGGGAGGCAGCAGUGGGGAAUAUUGGACAAUGGGGGCAACGCUGAUCCAGCCAUGCCGCGUGAGUGAUGAAGGCCCUAGGGUUGUAAAGCUCUUUCGGUGGGGAAGAUAAUGACGGUACCCACAGAAGAAGCCCCGGCUAACUUCGUG